CUAUGUGCUAGCUUUAGAGUGUCUUACAUCUGUCAAAGAUUUAACGUUUUAUUAAUGACAUGAAACGAUCAGGCAAUUUGGUUCUUCUCACUGUGCCGAUCUCAGAUCUGCAUCAAAUAGUGAUUCCGAACAAAUCAGACAAACAAAACUCACAAUUCGGACAACAAUAGCGAGAUGGUUGGACGAAAUAAAAUAUGGUACAUCAUCUGGAAAUAGUUUACGAACAAGUGUAAUAACUAUUAUGGCUACUGUAAUUUGUUUCAUUUAUAAUUUCUAAUUUCUUACAUUCAUGUAAAAUGAAGUGGAUUUGCCUAGUACAUGCAAUUGUGCAGUCAAUAAAAUUAAUUGAAAUUAA